AAGAGGCUUCCGAACAGACUAGACACAUCGCCUCCUUCUCAGGCGCCCCUCCCCCCAGCACGCCCCUUCCCCAAGCCUUCUGGCUUUAAGUCAGAAAGACGCACAGAGGUUGGGGGGAGGAAAAGGAAAAGGGACAAAUUUCUAGGAGUGGAGGGGCUUGUUUCUCCUUUCCUGAAAGCAGCGCUUCGGAACUGCGGGUAGCUUCCUACUGGAAGCUUACAUGUCCUGAUGAGUGUGGGGAGAGGCGACCUUUUCCCGGACUCCGCGGAGCUCCCCGAGAAGGCAAUGGCGGAGCUCAAGUCUCUGUCCGGAGACACCUACCUGGCCUUAACCCAAGGCUACACAACUGCAUCUUUCCCUUAUGGCUCUGUCCGCGGUGCUGAAGCGCACCGAGGCUACAGCACAUCGGCUGCGGGAGACUUUCAUGGGGCUCCUCUGGCCAAGGGAGGAGCAGCGGAAAGCAGCGGGGAGCAGAGCGGCGAUGAGGAGGACGCCUUUGAACCUAGGAAAAGGAGCCCUGGCUUCGACACCGACGCCAAACUUAAGGCGGGGACCCUGGCCAAGAAGCCCAAAGAGCAGCGCUCCUUGCGCUUGAGUAUCAACGCCCGAGAGCGAAGACGCAUGCACGACCUGAACGACGCCCUGGACGGGCUCAGGUCGGUAAUCCCCUACGCGCACAGUCCUUCCGUGAGGAAACUGUCCAAAAUUGCAACCCUUCUCCUAGCGAAGAACUACAUCCUGAUGCAGGCCCAGGCUCUUGAAGAGAUGCGACGGCUGGUAGCCUAUUUGAACCAGGGUCAGAGCCUCACCGGCCCUAUUCCGGCCGCAUUGACUCCCUUUGGCCAGGCCGCAGUAUAUCCCUUCUCAGGCACAGCACUAACCGCCUGUCCCGAGAAAUGUGCUGCCUUCUCGGGUACUCCCUCUGCUCUUUGCAAGCACUGUAAUGAGAAGCCGUGAUUAGGUGUGUAUCUAACCCCGUCCCCACGUCUCCCAUCACCACCUUCUCUCCAGUCCCUUGCUCCUCUCCCUCCCCUGUCCACUGCCUUCCAGCCUCCUUGCAAUACCGUUUCAGUUAGAAUUGCUACAGUGCUUAUUCUGAUUCCCUUCCGCUCUUCCCCCGCCCCUUCCUCUUCCAGUGCUUCUCAAAAUUGUUUAAACGAAAAGCAACAAAAGGAAGGGGAGAGAGGAAUACACCAGGCUUCCGACCUCGGUGUAGCUUGCUUUAAACGGUGUCUUAUGCAAUCGCUUUCCUCGUCCUCCCGGGCUAAGGAAGUCAGAGAAACUUCGCUUUCCUUCCGCACCUAGCCCCUAGCUUUCUAGGCCCACAUUGAGGUAGCUCACGCUUUGACACAGAAAAUUAUUCUUUGCAACAAGUCCUCUUGGGCCUGGGACUGACCAUGAUGAGCGCAGGUGGAUUUCUGAGCGUCCGAAGCCUAACUAGUAAACUAUGCAACACGGCCCCCACCAGUAAGACCCAGAUCCAGGGACUCAAGUUCCAGAUUCUGGGCCCGGCUUCUGUCCCGUGUGCGCUCUAUUUCCAGGAACCUUGAAACUUUCCAAACCCCCUGACGCAAAAGUUCAGUGCUGCUAGCCAGGUUAUUCGUCUUCCCUCUAACCCCACCACGCCUCAUCCUACAGAACUCCGGGCUUGUUACUAAGUGGUUUGGUUUGGUUUUUUUUUUUUUUGGAACUAAGAGGUGACAUUCGACUCCCUCUGCCUCAUACCUCUUCCCAACGCUUGGCCUUCUCAAACCAAAGCCUUCUGGCAUCCUGGACAGGUGUCUUCUUCACAAACCAUUGUUUGCACGAGGAAUAAAUGCUAAGAACGAAAUGAUUCUGAGGAAAAUCAGAGAUUUUCAAUAAACUAUCAGACUUAAGUAUAUAAAAGUUUGGUCUGCACAGCUGCACUGUAGACCCGGUGGGACCUACGGUGUGCUUGCAGUGUAAACAGUUAGAGAUGAGUCUGACUUAGUGGUCUGAGACCACAAAAGUUUUAACCCUUCCAGUUCAUGGGAUUUUCUUGGCCCUAACCUGAAGCUAGCCCAGAACAAAAGCUAGCCCUAGCACAGGACAACUCUGUGAAUGCUUUUGUCAGGACCUCAAAAAUCCAGUAAACAUUGUGAACUGGUGGUUGCAGUUUCCUGGAUCCCAAGGCCAGCACAUUAGUCAAACUAAACCUGGAACUUGUCCUCAAGGACAGAGUAACUGCUGUAGCUCAGGGCAAGCUGUGAAGUCGCCAUGCCUUCCCAUAGCCCGACAAUUUGGCACCAAUUUCCAAUAGAAGAUGUGUUGUAACCUCCAGGCUAAGAAAUGAAACAUCAAGUGAAAACCAGCCUCCUCAUAAAAGGCAAAUAUUAUUUUCCUAAAGGGUGAGUGAAAAUAUGAAGACCAUCACUGUCAUCUAAGAGUCCAGGUUUGCUUCAUCAUCUCUGUUGUGAACGAGUUCUUUCUGCCCGGAAUCAGAACAUAGUUCCUAAGCCCUAAGAAUUGCAGAGGACAAUGAUUGCAGUGCUUUUCCUAAUGUGAAUUUGUUUGUGACAUGUUUCCAGUCUUUAAUCUCUUUUGGCAUCCCAUUUACAGAGAUGAAAACAGGGAUUUGUGAUGUACUGAAUUGUUUCUGUAACAAUUACCUCUUUGGAUUCAUGGAUCUGUAGCCCUGGCCAGUCUAAUGCCUCCAACAAAAGUAUAUUUAGUAAAAUGAGAAAUUUAACAUGCUUUCAAAAUGGAAACUCUAUUAUCUGGCAGUAAAAUUCCCAAAUGAAAAACACCUAAGUUAGUGUAAAUGCAGUAGCUAACAUAUAAUCUACAGAGGAGAAUUAAAAAACAUUCCAUGUUUUAAUAUUCACCUCCCAAAGAAAUAAUCUCAGUAUGAUUCCCCCUAUGAAAAGGAUUUUUUUUCUUUUCAAAAGAUGAACAAAUAUGUCUACUUAAAAAUACUAAUGGAUAACCUCUAUGUCUUCUCAAUAUCCUUAUCAUUAAAGUGUUCGAAUACUUAUUCAUACAAGACAAUGUAUGAAACUCUAAUUACUGAACAUUACUCUUUAUCUCUCACUGUAAACUUUAAAUCAAAAUUAUCUCUACAGGUCACAAAGCCACAAGGGCUAGAGAUUAAGGCAUACAUAUGGAAACUGUCACCUGAUGUAUAUAGAUAUUAUCUCAUUUUCCUAUUGAUGUUUUCAUUCCAUCAUCUUCCAUGAUUUGUGAAAUGUAUUUAACCAAAUAAGACACAAUGAACAGAAAAUCAUCAGACCUUUA